AAAAAAACAAACCCUGAUUCCAUGUCUAAGUGUUUGACCGUCCAUUUUAUUUUAAAAAAAUAUAAAAAAUUAAAAAAAUAAGUCACGUAUAAAGUAUUAAUCACGUUUUAUCAUCUAACAACAAUGAAAAUACUAAUUAUAAAAAAAUUUUAUAUAAGACGAACAGUCAAACGUUGGUACGGAAAUCCAAGAUUUGCUUUUUU
rfam:Oryza glumipatula chromosome 1, whole genome shotgun sequence.